CUGAUGGGGAAAUGUCAAAACAUGACACACAGCAUUUGAUUUGUAGUUGGCCUUCAGGGAGCCUUGGUGUGGCUCUUUCCAAAGGAGAGAAAAACCCAGCCAGGGACCCAGGGGUUUCUGGAAACUUCCACAGAAAGUCAUGCAUAACUGGUUCCCAACUGUCAUCUAAAAGGCCUUUCUCUUGGAAUACCGGAACACACUCAAGUGUCCCUGAGCACCCGUUUCUAGCCUUCUCUUUGGGAAGUCGUGAUAACUCAGUGACAGCCAGAAGUGGAGGCAGAAAAAUGACACUUAUUGGAAGGCCACUAAGACCUUCCACAGGCUUCCCCAACCACUUGCAAGCCAUCUCUGGUAGAGGCCUCACAACAGUCUUAGUGCUGGGACUAUUGAUGUGCCACAAUAACUCAGCUCCCCCAGCACUGCGGAUUGAACCCAGAGCUUCCUCCUUGCUGUUCGAACACUCACUCUACCAACCGAGCUGCGUCUCCAAUCUACAGGGAACGAUUUUGAAAGCAAGGCUGAACUGAAAGAAAGGAGUCUCACAGCGCGCCACCCCCUCUCUCUAGAGCUUGCAGAAUGUUCGACAACACCCCACAGAGAAGACGACUCACACAGCUGGAUUAUGGUCCAACCCUUAGCUCUCAUAUCUAGAGAGAGACACACAGUAGGUUCACAGCACACGUUAAAUUCAGCAAAAGGAUGCAGCUUGUGCCUUGAAGCUUCAACUACUUGCUAAAUCCAUUUAAAGAGACGUUGCUGUUAAUAACCAACCUUUAAAACGCUUUGUCCUGCAUCUCAAACGUAAGCUCCUGGGAUUUCCGGAGACCCAGAGGUGGGGCACUACUUGAAGCCAAGUUACCCUUCCUUUCACUAUUUUUGCUUUAAUUAAUGCCUGAAUUUGUGGGGUACGGGGUACACGUUUGUGUGCAGUGAACAUGUCCACGCACAUUCGGGUCAAAGGAGACAUCAGGGGUCCUGCUCUAUCCCCUGGGCCCAGCCAGAGCUCUGUGUUUUCAGAUAACCUGGCGGCCAGCAAGCCCCAGCAAUCCUCCGGUCUCUGCCUCCUUCAGGUCUCCGUUGCUGCCCUCCCCCACGCCCAUGUGCUUGGGUUACAGGCAUACAGGCACACCUUUGUGUGGGUGCUGAGUGUCUGAACUCAGCUCUGAGUCUGUGCCUGCCUGGCUUUUCUGUUGUUUGUUUGUUUGAGAGAAGGUCUCUCUGUGUAGCCCUGGCUGACCUGGGGCUCACUUUGUAGACCUGGCUGGCCUUGAACUCCGAGAUUCUCCUGUCAGUGCCUUCCAAGUGCUGGGAUUAAAGGUGUGAACCACCACCCUGGCUCACGGCUGGCAUUUUAUAUGGGUGCUGGAGUCCCCAGUGUGGCUAUGUAAGCUAGUCCAGUAAGACGUCUUCCCCACUGAGCCAUGUCUUCUCUGCUCUUCAUCUCUUCCCCUGGCAACAGCGUUCUUCCUCUAAUAGUUUCCUUAUUGCAGUGGCAGAAAGAAAUGUAUGUAUUUCUAACUGAGCCAACCAGUUAGAACCAAAAUGCGUUUGUAGCCAAACAGAUGUACUUCUAAAUUUUCCUUGCGUUCAUUCACUGGCUUCUACACUAUAUUUAGGAUCCAUUGCUCAUUUUCUUAUCAUCUUCGAUUUCAUUGCCUUUGUUUUACAUUGGAGGAACCGGGGGUCAAAUGUAACCCAGACUCUUUCUGUUCAAAACAUGUUAAAAUCGGAGAGAAACUGUAUGAUUAACGGGAUGAAUCAUGUUGUUUUUUUUUUUUUAAUGAAAAAAAAAAAAAACAGGAAUGUAAACAAGUGGAGCCCCACCUGCCUGGCUGCUGUUGUGGGGCUGUGUGUAUCUGGAGGGAAACAAUUCCUUCCUUCUCAAGGCUGAACUAAAAUUAGGCUCCACCUGCAAGAUGGUAAUGAAACGUACGCAGCUGCAUUCCGGAAACAAGUUACUCAGAUUGCUUUUGGAACGCUCUGUGUCAAUGCAAACUUGUUAGCUCUUUGCCUAAUU